AUGAACGCUGGCGGCGUGCCUAAUACAUGCAAGUCGAGCGAACAGACGAGGAGCUUGCUCCUCUGACGUUAGCGGCGGACGGGUGAGUAACACGUGGAGAACCUACCUAUAAGACUGGGAUAACUUCGGGAAACCGGAGCUAAUACCGGAUAAUAUAUUGAACCGCAUGGUUCAAUAGUGAAAGACGGUUUUGCUGUCACUUAUAGAUGGAUCCGCGCCGCAUUAGCUAGUUGGUAAGGUAACGGCUUACCAAGGCAACGAUGCGUAGCCGACCUGAGAGGGUGAUCGGCCACACUGGAACUGAGACACGGUCCAGACUCCUACGGGAGGCAGCAGUAGGGAAUCUUCCGCAAUGGGCGAAAGCCUGACGGAGCAACGCCGCGUGAGUGAUGAAGGUCUUCGGAUCGUAAAACUCUGUUAUUAGGGAAGAACAAAUGUGUAAGUAACUAUGCACGUCUUGACGGUACCUAAUCAGAAAGCCACGGCUAACUACGUG
rnacentral:rRNA from 1 species